CAAAAAAAGAGGUUAAAAGCAGCAUAUUGAAAGAGUUACUAAAGGUAUUUAUGUUCUGUAUAUUUUUUAGCUCCAAUGAUGUGUUCACAUGCAAGGCUCUGUCAACAAAGGAUUGUGAACCAUCCGUUUGAGAGACAAUCUUUUCGACCGGGACUAGAGAUGGUAAAAACUGUAACGAGUCAGCCGAGAGAACGACAUCGCCGUAAAAGAAGGAGAUACCAUUCCAAUUCGCAAGGAGACUGAUGCCUGGAAGCCAGCAGUUUGAGUUUGGCGGGGGAGGAGUGCUGGAAGAAAGGAAGAGAAGAACAAAGAGCGCUCUGAUGGCCGACUGGGCCGCAGGAAUCAGGAGGUGGUUUGCGCAUGAUAAAAUUUCAGUGGCGAAAAUAGACCAGUCUAGGCAGACUCCUGAUUAAGCGAGGGUGGAUACAGCUUUGGCAGAGAAGGAUUUGUGAUAUUGAUAGAAAAAUAGGGAAGCCAUGUUUGAAAUAUAGGUCGACGAAGAGGGAUAUUUUUUGUAAGGCGGGGAUCAGAUGAUUUAAACACAGCAGCAAAGCCAUCAGGGGAAGCGACACAGUGGUCAUCCUCGGGAGAUGUUAAAAAUGAGAGAAACCAGAUUAAUGAGCAGCCCCUGCAGGAUUUUGGAGCAGUGCCUGAGUGGGAUGUUAGAAUGCAUUGGAGUAUAUGAUCUACCUGAAUGUAAAAGAGAAGUGGGAAACACAGCAUGCUUGAAGGGAAAAUGAAUGAGGAAACUGAGAAGAGAGAAUGAAGUGAUACAUCUCACCCUUAGAGACGAGCCAGGACAAGCGUUGUGAUGGUGGAUGUCAGUGGGAGGGGUCGAGGAGGGGGUUGAGCGCCGGCAGAGCAGAGAAGAGGAAGUGCUGACGUGGCAGAAUUAGAGGCGAACUCCCAGAGAAGUUGAGUAAUGGAUGGUAUGGAGCACUGGAGAGAAUCCAUGGACGAGAUCAUUCAUCUACCUGCUUCAUUCAAGCAGGUAAGAUUGUGGGAUGGCCGGAGUAGAUGAAGACGUCAAAGCCUGGGGUGUGGGAGGAAGAUCGGAGGAGAAACCGCUGCAGAAGGCUGGCUGGGUGACGUGGCGGCGGGAGCAGGGUGGAGGCAGGGCGACCUUGGCGACGCUUAGCAGGAGGAUUGGAGGAAUUGUUAAGGCGCUUUCCACUUGCCCAGAGCUGAGACGGUGGAAAAGGGGCCCUCAAGGCAAGAGGCCAGGCGAAAGCUCCUACGAGCAGAAGAGGAGGAAGGAGGGUGAGGAUCCAUCACGAAUCAUGGCAAGGAACCAGCCAAGUCACCGGAGUCGUAGUCGGACAUGACACGGCUGAUCAUCAAAGUUCAGCUGAAAAGCAGGAGAUUAUGUGUAUGAAGGUCUUUUAAAGUGAAGCUUGGAGGGAUGAUUGGCUGAAGAGGAAUGUAGAUCAGGAGCUGAUUGGCUAGAGCGGAGAACGUGAAGGGGUAUGUCCCAAUUCAGGGCCUGGAUCCUUCGAAGGACCUGGUCUACAUGGGCUGGGUCCUUCGUCGACUGCUAACACCACGGAGGCCGAAAGUGAGCAGCUGCGGCCGAAAGUGAGCAGCUGCGAAUUGGGACGGUCUAGCCUCACUGCCGGGAAGACUGGCGAGGCAACCCGGCAGUUACUACACCGGGAGCGGAAAACUCUGAACACGUCGGAGCACAUUUGAAAUUAAGCGAUGUCUUGAUAAAUCAAGCAGAUAUUUCACGUCUACACAGUUAUAUUCCUGCACUAAAUACAUUGUAGAAGUUCAUUUGUAUCACAGAAAGUGUAAUUUUUCACAAUUUACUCAUAGCUUUUGCCGCUGUGGUCCGCCAUAGCUGCCCCUGCUUGACCAAUCCGCUUCGACCCGCAAUGAAUCAUGGGAAAUGAUGGACCGCGAAGGAUACUUCAAAUUGGGCAAACGAAGGAUACAUUUGUCGGCCGCAUUUGAAGGAGUCUCGGAAGGAUUCAAUUAUGAUGUAAUCGGCCAACAAAUACAGCCUUCGAAGGAUUCCAGUCCCUGAAUUGGAACAUACCCCAUGUAGUUAGACAGAGCCGGAAGUGGAGACACUCCAGAAGACUCAGGUGGAGGCCUCAACAAUAACCUUGAUCAAAGACUACCUGACAAACAGACCACAGUUUGUGAUACUGAAGGGUUUUGUGUCUAACCAGGUAGUCAGCAGCACAGGAACACCACAGGGGGCUGUGCUUUCACCAUUCCUUUUCAUUCUGUACACCUCAGAUUCCCAGUACAAGACAGACUUCUGUGAACUGCAGAAAUACUCGGAUGAUUCUGCAGUUGUGGGGUGUACCAGAAAUAGACAAGAAGUUGAGAACAGGGAGCUUUUGGACCGCUUUGUCGCAUCAUGUCAUCUUGAAAGUGACUAAAACAAAGGAGAUGAUUGUAGAUUUUAAGAGAAACGAGAAUAGAUCAAACACUUCACACAUCAUGGUAGAAGUGGAGGUGGUGGAGGAGUAUAAAUCCCUGUAUUCACCUGGACAACAGACUGGAGUGGAGAUGCAAAUGUGAAGCCGGCUACCAGAAGGGACAGAGCAGACCGUACUUCUUGAGGAAGCUUCAGUGUUUGCAGCAAAAUGCUACAUAUCUUCUGAAAGUCUGUUGUACAGAGUUUGGUCGCUUCUGCCAUCAUCUGCUGGGGUAGCAGCAUCAGAGCCAGGGACUUAAAAAAUCUCAACAAGCUAAUAAAAACAGACUGGCUCUGUACUGGGGACUUCUCUGGAACCUUUGGAGAUUAUUGUGCAAAGAAUGCUUCUUCAUAAAAUUAAGAACAUUAUGGAGAACCCUGAGCAUCCUUUUCAUGAAAUUGUCGUACAAUAAUAGUGGCUUCAGUCAGAGGCUUCUUCUAAUCUGCUGUAAGACAGACUGCUACAGGAGAUUCUUCUUGCCCACAGCCAUUAGCAUCUACAACAGCUCUUUGAAGAAACCUGCAUGAUAUGAGCUACAACAUUUAAUUUCUCUUUGGGAUUAAUAACGUAUUUAACUAAAUAAAAUUUGAUUCUGUGGAACAUAUAUUUAUUGUCAACACAUUGAGACAAUUUGGAUUUGGUUUCUUGAUAUGAUUACAAUGUCAAAUAACAAUGUCGACAGCUGUGUUUCUCUGUCAAACGGCACAUGUCCUAAAUUCAAAGUAGAAAGAGGAAUUAGAUGGGGUUGCAGGAUCUCACCUCUUAUUUAUUUUAGUCACAGAAAUACUGGCAGUUACUAUUAAAAACUCUAACAUUGAACGGUUGGAAAUAAAUAACUAGAAAAUAAUCAUAAGUCAUUUUGUGGAUGAUACAACACUCUUUGUAAAGAAUAAAGAACAAAUAUCACUGGC